GAUGAAGAACGCAGCGAAAUGCGGUAAGUAAUGCGAAUUGCAGAAUUCCAGUGAGUCAUCGAAUCUUUGAACGCACAUUGCGCCCUUUGGUAUUCCGAAGGGCAUGCCUGUUCGAGCGUCAUUAUCACCCCUCAAGCCCUCGGCUUGGUGUUGGACGGUUUGGUGGAGGCCCCCUCGGGGGUUCCUGCCCCUCCCAAAGACAAUGACGGCGGCCUCGUUGGACCCCCGGUACACUGAGUUCUUCACGGGACACGUAUCGGACACAUGGGUUUACGGGACACGGUCUGCCUCCCCUCAGGGAGAAUCUUUCUAAGGUUGACCUCGGAUCAGGUAGGGAUACCCGCUGAACUUAAGCAUAUCAAUAAGCGGAGGA
rnacentral:misc_RNA from 1 species